rnacentral:ncRNA from 1 species
UUUGCGGGAGAGACUUUUUUAGCGCCGAAGGAGCAACCGCCCUCGGAAACUCUCAGGCAAAAAGGACCGCAGGUA